GUCGCAAUGUCGCAUGGCCAGCAGCCCAUGAGCAGUCAGCUGCAAAACGAGCACAGCAGGGGGAAAUUAAAAGAGGCUUCGCGUGCGUCCUCUCCGUGCAGGGGGAAAUUAAAAGAGGCUCCGGCGGCCCCUCCGUCCUCGCUCCGACCGACGAGCUCCUCCACCCCGUGCCACCUCCACACCGCGCCGCCACCCCGAUCGACAGGAUUGUGCACUGAGGUUAAGGCAAUUGACUCAAAUGAAUGUGAUGGCCACCAUCUUGUUCAUGGGAUUGCUUGUGGUGACUGCACAAGGUCGUCCGGAGGCCGGAAAAAGAAGCUACCUAGACGGUGACACCAACACCGUGGAUGGUGUCAAGAUUAGCGUAAGAUUUUGCACCAUUGCGACACAUAACGACAACGACUGUUACUGCUGCGUCAACCUCAAGAGCAAGCCGUGUUUCAGGACGAGGGCUCGAUGCCAGGCUCAAUGCCCAUCCCAAGUGUCCGUCGUCUGAAUCGGUGUUGGGACUACAUGCAUAAAGUAUAAUACGGAGUACUACCCAGGUUCUUGAUCGCCUUAAGAGAAAUGAAUACUAGUACUAAUAGAUUCUCAUGGUAGUUUAAUAAACGGCGCCAUGUCGAUGGAUCAACCAAAGUGCUUAUAUAUUUAUGAAGUGGUUUUCUUACUGAAUU